rnacentral:miRNA from 1 species
CAAUAUAAAGUUGACCUGA